CCGCGUGAAGGAUGAAGGUCCUCUGGAUUGUAAACUUCUUUUAUAUGGGACGAAACCUGGGUAUUCCUACCCAAUUGACGGUACCAUAGGAUAAGCACCGGCUAACUCCGUGCCAGCAGCCGCGGUAAUACGGAGGGUGCAAGCGUUAUCCGGAUUCACUGGGUUUAAAGGGUGCGUAGGAGGGCAGGUAAGUCAGUGGUGAAAUCUUCGAGCUUAACUCGGAAACUGCCGUUGAUACUAUCUGUCUUGAAUACCGUGGAGGUGAGCGGAAUAUGUCAUGUAGCGGUGAAAUGCUUAGAUAUGACAUAGAACACCGAUUGCGAAGGCAGCUCACUACACGAAUAUUGACUCUGAGGCACGAAAGCGUGGGGAUCAAACAGGAUUAGAUACCCUGGUAGUCCACGCCCUAAACUAUGGAUACUCGACAUACGCGAUACACUGUGUGUGUCUGAGCGAAAGCAUUAAGUAUCCCACCUGGGAAGUACGACCGCAAGGUUG
rnacentral:rRNA from 1 species